ACAGAGAGUACGAGUGGCGUUGGCUUCUGACAUCAGAAUUCAACAACCCUCGUAAACAGGUAUUUAAAUAAAUUAAUUAGUUAAUUUAUCAUUAAGUACGUGCGUUUUAAAAUAUUUUACUAAUAGUUUACUUUUUUCUUUGAAGGCGGUUUCCCGGGUGAACGCUCAGAACCGGCAACGCAACACAAAGAACCAUCAUGCCGGUUCUAGACCGUUCGCUGUCUUCAUGGACGAGGCGGCCAGGGAACAUCCAGAGGUCAACCAGUACGUCUAUACGUACGAGAGGGCAUAUCCUGACUCCCAGGAGGAUAUAGUAAGUACUCUUUCUUUUUUACGGAAUUUUUAAUUUUACUUAUAUAUAUGUCAAAAUGUUAAUUAAUAAUUUUUUUCCUAUCCAAUUAGGCAAAGGUGAGGGAGGCUAGUGACGAGGUGAUGAGUGCUAUAGUGAGGGAGACAUGGCCGGACACGCAGGAGGAAGAGAUGUCCGAAGCCAUUUUCCGGAUCGACACUUCAGAUCCGAGGGUUGGGGCGAGGAUCAUGGGCACAGCCUUCCCACCGCGAGAAAACAACUUCUACUGCCGGGGUCUAGGAAAGAAGGGCCGAGGGGGUCCUGAAGACCACUCCAGGAUUUCAACGAAAGGCGGGCUCGACCAACAGCAGGACGGCUCAGCUAGAGUCGGAAGUUGAGAGACUACGGGAACAGCAAGCCGCUCAGGCUGCCGCUCAUGCUGCUCAGGCUGCCGCUCAUGCUGCUCAGGCUGCCGCUCAGGCUGCCGCUCAGGCUGCUCAGGCUGCCGCUCAUGCCGCCCAGAUCGUCGAAUAUAGAGCCUUUACUAGAGCCCUACAUGCCGCCCAGCAGGCCCAGCAGCAGCAGAUGUUCCAGUACUUCCAGGAUUUUACAGCUGCCCAGCAACAGAGACUUCCACCUCCGCCCAUGCUUGCGCCUAUAGAGUUACCUCUGCCGCCGCAAUCUCCUCACCAGCAGGCCCGAGAUUCGGAUAUUGAUUUAGACCAUCUAGAUUUUGUGUAGUUGAUACCUUAUAUAGUUUUAUGUGCUUCUUGUUGGUUAUAUAUAUGGAAUUGUUUUGGUGUAUUUUGCAGCUUGCUUGGAAUGGUAAUUUAAGAAUUUCGUGUAUUUUUUUUUUACUGGAAUGGCGUUAUAGCCGACGAAACAUGCCACAAUUCGUCGGCUAUAGUAAUUUUUUUUUUUCCAAAGGGUUUAGCCGACGAAUUAUGGUAUGUUUCGUCGGCUAAACACUACUAAAGUCGACGAAACAGACUUUAUGUCGUCGGCUAUAGUUAUUUUUAAAUAUUUUAAUUAUAUACUUUAGCUGACGAAACAGAGAUAUUCGUCGGCUAAAGUUUGUCAGUAAAGCCGACGAAUAUACUGUUCGUCGGCUAAAGUCUGGAACAAUAGCCGACGAAAAAUAGUUCGUCGGCUAAAAGCUGGAACAAUAGCCGAC
rnacentral:lncRNA from 1 species